rnacentral:tRNA from 1 species
UCUAAUAUGGCAGAAUAGUGCUAUGAACUUAAAAUUCAUAUAUAAAGAUACAUCUUUUAUUAGAA